rnacentral:rRNA from 1 species
GACGAACGCUGGCGGCGUGCCUAAUACAUGCAAGUAGAACGCUGAAGAGAGGAGCUUGCUCUUCUUGGAUGAGUUGCGAACGGGUGAGUAACGCGUAGGUAACCUGCCUUGUAGCGGGGGAUAACUAUUGGAAACGAUAGCUAAUACCGCAUAACAAUGGAUGACACAUGUCAUUUAUUUGAAAGGGGCAAUUGCUCCACUACAAGAUGGACCUGCGUUGUAUUAGCUAGUAGGUGAGGUAACGGCUCACCUAGGCGACGAUACAUAGCCGACCUGAGAGGGUGAUCGGCCACACUGGGACUGAGACACGGCCCAGACUCCUACGGGAGGCAGCAGUAGGGAAUCUUCGGCAAUGGGGGCAACCCUGACCGAGCAACGCCGCGUGAGUGAAGAAGGUUUUCGGAUCGUAAAGCUCUGUUGUAAGUCAAGAACGAGUGUGAGAGUGGAAAGUUCACACUGUGACGGUAGCUUACCAGAAAGGGACGGCUAACUACGUGCCAGCAGCCGCGGUAAUACGUAGGUCCCGAGCGUUGUCCGGAUUUAUUGGGCGUAAAGCGAGCGCAGGCGGUUUGAUAAGUCUGAAGUUAAAGUCUGUGGCUCAACCAUAGUUUGCUUUGGAAACUGUCAAACUUGAGUGCAGAAGGGGAGAGUGGAAUUCCAUGUGUAGCGGUGAAAUGCGUAGAUAUAUGGAGGAACACCGGUGGCGAAAGCGGCUCUCUGGUCUGUAACUGACGCUGAGGCUCGAAAGCGUGGGGAGCGAACAGG